GAGGGUACAGCUCAGUGGUAGAGCAUGUGCUUAGCAUGCACCAGGUCCUGGGUUCCAUCCCCAGGACCUCCA
rnacentral:tRNA from 1 species